rnacentral:tRNA from 1 species
GCCUUCGUGGUGUAAUGGUCAGCACGAUCAACGCUUAUUCGAGAGGUCCGUGGUUCGAGUCCCGGCGAGGACA